rnacentral:rRNA from 1 species
UACGUAGGGUGCAAGCGUUAUCCGGAAUUAUUGGGCGUAAAGAGCUCGUAGGCGGUUUGUCGCGUCUGCUGUGAAAUCCCGAGGCUCAACCUCGGGCCUGCAGUGGGUACGGGCAGACUAGAGUGCGGUAGGGGAGAUUGGAAUUCCUGGUGUAGCGGUGGAAUGCGCAGAUAUCAGGAGGAACACCGAUGGCGAAGGCAGGUCUCUGGGCAUUAACUGACGCUGAGGAGCGAAAGCAUGGGGAGCGAACAGG